rnacentral:rRNA from 1 species
CCCUUAGAUGUUCUGGGCCGCACGCGUGCUACACUGAGUGGAUCAGCGGGUCAGGUUGCGCGAAAGUGUUUCCUAAUCUUUAAAUCUGCUCGUGAUGGGGAUUGACGGUUGCAAUUUUCCGUCAUGAACGAGGAAUACCUUGUAAGCGCGGGUCAUCAUCCCGCGCUGAAUACGUCCCUGCCCUUUGUACACACCGCCCGUCGCUCCUACCGAUUGAGUGGUCCGGUGAGGCUUUGGGAUCUGAGCGGAAAGAGCGUUUCGCUGUUUCUGCUCGGAAAACUCAGUCGAACCUUAUCAUUUAGAGGAAGGAGAAGUCGUAACA